AAAAAAGCGUCAUAGAACCAUAGAAUGUUAAGGGGUUGCAAGGGGCCUCUAAACUUGGACUUCUAUUCCCCCAUGGUUCUAUCUGCCCUUCAAAACCAAGAGCAGCAAUUUACUUCUUGCAACCUCCAACAUCAGGUGCUCAACCCUCCUGACAAAAGUGGAGCCUGACCCUGGAUGAUCAGGUGGCCCACACAGAGGAAUGAUGCUGGGUCUGGAGCCCACAGGAGGGAGAUGCCAAUGACAGAAAUGUGGAUGGUUCUUUUGGAGGUGCAAUGUACCAGCCUAAACCCUGUCCCACAAUUUUCCUGAGCCUGUGGCUGCUUGCUCAGGUGGGCAUCUCCCUAUGGUGGCCCCCAACCUAUCCUGAGAUCCCAGUGCAACGGGAAAGGACCAGUUUAGCAGCUCAUUUUAACAUCCAAACCCCAUAGACUGGGAGACAGUGACCCUUGCCUGCCCCUGCUUUCCUC